rnacentral:misc_RNA from 1 species
GAUGAAGAACGCAGCGAAAUGCGAUAAGUAAUGUGAAUUGCAGAAUUCAGUGAAUCAUCGAAUCUUUGAACGCACCUUGCGCCCUUUGGACAUUCCGAAGGGCAUGCCUGUUUGAGUAUCAUGAACACCUCAACUCUCACGGCUUGUCCGUGAUGAGCUUGGACUUUGGGGGUCUUGCCGGCCUGUGGUCGGCUCCUCUCAAAUGGAUCAGCUUGCCAGUGUUUGGUGGCAUCACAGGUGUGAUAACUAUCUGCGCUUGUGGUUUUCCAUCAGAUAACCUUCAGUGAUAUGGAGGUUCGCUGGAGCUCACAAAUGUCUCUCCUUAGUGAGGACAGCUCUUUGAACGUUUGAUCUCAAAUCAGGUAGGACUACCCGCUGAACUUAAGCAUAUCAAUAAGCGGAGG